AUUUAAGCAACCUUGCUUCUGCUUUGGUGAUCACAUGUCAUGCAAUGUCUAUAUUGUUGAUUUUGUUGCUAAGCCCCGCUGUGAGUUCUAGUUUCCAGUGUUUCAGGUUACAUGUUUAAACCUGGCCUUCCAACUGUUUCACACUAUCCUGCAUGUCCUCUUCUAACGAAGCUGAUACUCUGGAGGCCUUCUCUUUCCACACUGGUCCACAUUGGCAUGAAAAAUUGAGUGGAAGGAGGAGUUAGUAUUACAGAUUUUUUGUUUAUGAUAGUUGUUAACUUUCCACUUCGGAAAUGUCACUAAGAGGAAGCCUUAGGAAGCACAUAUUCGGUGCAUGUGGUCAGCAGAUUGGCUUCUGACACCUUCCCCCAUUACUGGAGAAUUUCACGAGCUCUUAAGAAAAAAGCAAACAGAAAAUAUGAACCUGGCAGGCAUCAAAGCUGAGAAACUGAAGAGGACUAGGAGGAAAAGCUCUACUUCAAAACUCUUUUCUAUAAGCCUUCGAUCUGAUGUUUUUCUUUAGGACAGAUACGGAAAAAGUUGAUCUUAUGCACGCUUCUUUGGAGGAUUACAUUUAGGCCCAUUUACGUUAUUGGAAGAGAGCUCUCUGUACACCUGUGAGGUUUCAAGUAACUUACAAUAUAAAGCAGCCAGUGACUUGCGUGGGACUUGGGCUAUCCCAAUUAAAUUGUGUAUGAUGACAUGUCAGCAUGCCGGGGCUUCAUUUCUGCAAGCAGAAAUCCCUUGUGCAGUGUGUUAUGGAAAUUACUGUUCCAUGCCAAGAAAUUUUAUUUUACUCCAUCAGAUGCAACUCCAUUUCUCUGGCUCUCUGAACAUUUUCUAGCAGCGAAAUGCAAACAUCCUUACCAUCAAGAAGGCUAGGCGGGGUAGUACUGAAGGGAUUAUUCCAGAAACUCCUGAAAUGCAAAACCUUCUGUGGCAAGAGAGAAAAGGCAGUCUUGUGACUAUGGCUCUGACCUAAAGGACACGCUCUCUCCAAGUAUGAUUUCAUUCAGGUAGUGAGACCAAGAGCUGCAUUAAAAAACAGAAGGAUUGGCCCUAGGCAGACAGUGCAAUGAAGGUGCCUCAGUACUCCUCAAGGAAAAUUUCCUUCCAGCUCACCAACAGCGAGCAUUAAGCACCUCACCCCACCCUGAAUUCAGGUAAAAAUUAUCUUCUGAGUAAUAAAACACCAUUUAAUCUUCCAAGGAAUAAAACACCAAUUAAAGGCCAUGUUUAAAACAUGGAGGGUAUGGUAGAUGUUGUGAAGUUCUGGUUCCUGGCUCAUCUCCUGUUUUCAAUAACCGUGUAACGUAAAAGGUCACAUUAUUCCUGAGAGCAAGGAUCAGAAUCCUACAGCUAUCUCCUGCCACUAUCUGAUAGGUAAGUUGUCUCUCUUCUUUCCUUGGAGGACACUUAAAUGUUUCUGGGGAAAUGUCGUGGGAACUUCCAGGUCAAAGAGGGAAGCCUGCAGUUGCUUUUCGGUUCUCAUAUUGUUAGGCUGUGUGGGCAGACGAUGGUCUGAGUUGUUGUUUGAGGUUAGAACCAGACACUUCCACUCCAAUUUAGGCAACAUUACUGGAAAUGGGCCAAUAAGUUUAUGCUAAAAUUUUAGUAUCAUUAAGUUAUACCAAGCAUAGCUCUACAACAAUCAAAUACUCAUUUCCUAGCUUGAGGCUCUCAUUUCACACUCUGAAUGAAUAAAAUAUAGCCUGACCAAAGAGAGGCUGUGAGAGGAGUGCAAACUCUACUUAGAGGUUAACAACCUGAUUUCUCUCUCAUACCAGUUUUACGGUCACUUAGCUCCAUUGACUUUGGUGGAAUGAGUCCUGAUUUACAACAUUGCUUCAGAGCAGGUUUAAAGCUGUGCUACACAAUAGCAAUACUGGUGCCAGUUCUUGGAGCAAAGUGUAUUUGCAUUGUGCAUGCCGCAGUACUAUCAGGUCUGAGACCGUAAAGAAAAUGUUUAUUCUUUUUUGAUCUCUGGAGAACAGAGGUGCAAGAAAUUAUUUAGAGCUCUCAUUUGUUACCUUACUUGUAUGGUUUAAUAUCAGUUAUGUUUUGUUUGUUUGUUUGUUUGUUUUUUCCUUCAGUGAUUUGUCCUUUAUCAAGGCAAUCCUGUGCUUUCAAAUCUAAUAUGUUGGGUUAGAGGUUUACAGAGUUCACGUUGGUGUGUAUUUUUGGUGGGAACACCCUCAACUUGAAAUGCUAUCUGAUGUAAAAAGCAAGCAAACAAACAAAAACCAACAAUGAAACAGAUUGUAUUAGUUAUUUAAGAAACUACUUAGAAAUUAGUUUACCUCCUGUCACCUCUCCCAAGUAUGAUUUUAAGUCCAUGCACAAUAGGCUGCCAUUUCUUCAGUUCCUGGUGUUUGAUGUGAUGUACCAGCACUGGAGGCCUCUGUGCUGCUUCCUACCUCACACUGGCAUCUUAUCUGCAGAGCAGAUGGAGGAAACCAUCUGAGUGAAUACACCUGAUCAAGAGAUGAGGACCCAUGUUCUUAGCUUGACUCAUGUUGACACAAAACACUUUUAUUGUGGGAAAGCUAAGCAAGCCAAACAUGAUGGACUUGCAAUCCACUUCACUGCUACAUAGAUACACUCAUGUCUACUGGAGCCCCUCUUCUGUAACUUCAGCCCAUCUGCACUGAAGGUCUGCUUCAGUCCCCUCCCCAAAUAAGAGAGAAUGUUUUUAUUUAAAAUAUAAUGAACUGUGUUGCAUUUAGAAGAGCUGCAUGGUCAAAUGAUGUUAUCCUGUCAACCUACUGAAUGCCAUGCCACGAUGCCAGUGUUUGGACUCUGUAUUAACUGCUGGCUUUGGUAAGACUGGAAAGGAAAGGAAGACCUGGACACACUGACUACAUAUAAACUAUGAAAUAAAAUUGGUCAGAGACUUUUCCUUGAUGCCAACUGGCAUGGAAGAGCUUGCAUUCACACAGCUAAACUCUUCUUACCCUUCAAAUCACAGUGGCCACAUCCAAAAUACCUACUGGAGACAGUCCCUGACAUAGGUUAAUACCCAAACUGUGCUUUGGCAAUGACUGGAAGAGCACAAGCAAGUUUGAGCCUAAACUAUGCCAGUGACCAGAUUAGUAGUAUGGAUGGUUUUGAACCCAUGUCUCAUUAGUCCUGUUUAGUUUAGUUAGUGUCAGAGUGAAACCUCAGUCCUACUGCCAGCAGCCAACAGAAAACCCCUAUUGGCCUCGGUGACCAGAAGCUGCUGAGAAGUAUAAUUAUUACUUUGCUUACCUCCCUCAUAUUUGGAUUCUUUUUUUCCUCUCAUUCUGUCUAUUACCAAAUGAGUACUGAAAUAAACAUUUUUAAAAAAUAGCAUAGUGUAAUGAAAUUGGAUUGUUUCCUGUUCAAAACUUGUUAGUUUUGAAUGACCCACAGGGUUAUCAAACAGGCUUAGGUUCUGGUAAAGCCAGCUUCAUCUCUCUUCUCUGAUGGAAGAGCUCCUGCAGCUUUAAGCAAAUAACUUAGAUUGUAUAUGACUAUGCACCCCAUUUGGAUAAAGAGUUAAAAGCCACAACGUAUUGAGAUACAAACAUGCCAGGUGCUUAAGGUCACAUAAGCAUUUGAAACUGAUGUGAGCAUAAAACUACCUUUGAUUUCUGUGUCACUUUUUUAUUUUUUAUUAUUAUUAUUUUUAAAAUUUAUUUAAUAUAUAUAUCUGGGAAGGGAAUUUGUUUUAAAUCCUGAAAAAUGAACUUGAGUGUGUUCACCCCUGUGUCAAGACGCUUUCAGAGUUGAAGGAAAUGCUGGGGGUGGGUUUGGAUAAACCUGAAGUAUUCUACAGGGAUGGCUGUGCUAAUUUGGAGAGAGGCUGCUCUGUUUCCAGAGCUAACUCUCUGCACCUGGUACCCCAGUUAACCCGUGUAAAACUAUCCUUCACAGUACUAUGCUAUACUUCUGCCUGCAGCAAUAUAAAUAAGAAUCAGGCAAUUCAUGCUAUAAUCUUUUUCUCUAUUCUAAAGAUAAAUGGCACUGGAGAACAAGUUGAUUUAAAAAGCUCAUCAUACAAAAUGAUUAUAUUAAGCCAUGCUGUAUUACUGAGAUUACAGAAAAUGACCUGCAUGUAUUGAAUUAAACCACGAUUUUUCAAUGAUCUCAGUGGCAGCAGAAUUGGGACAUUUUAAUCAUUGCAUUAUCAGUUUGUGAGCUGGACUUUGAAAAGCAGGAAGCGCUUCAGCAAAGCAGAGGAGGAACACAGAGGAACAUUUGAUCUAUCAUCGUUUGGCUCCCUUUCUCUGUCUGCCAUGUUGCACCGAACCCCGCCAGUUGCAGCCUGCUGUCCCCUGAUGCAUGCGGACAGCUUCCAUCAGCAAUCAAGGGCAGAAGAGACAGUUUCAUGAGAACUCAUUCAGGUUACAGUCUGGAAUCUGGAUAUUGCAACACUUUGUGAGACAAUGAACAACUUCUACAGGAUUGACCAGUUCAAAGUGAAAAAAUCUUGGGUAUCAACAAAAAUCAUUACCACAAAUGGUGAAAAGCCAUUCAAGAUACCCUUCCCCACUUGCACCAAAGGAUGGUGACGUUGUGAUGGCCCCACAGUCCUCAGGAGUUCUUUGAAGGCUUGCAGUGAGGGCACCAAUGAAGAGGUCCCAUCUGCACCACCCUCUGGAGGAGGGAAAGUAAACCUGAGUGGAUCUGUGAAAAAAUUAUGCUUCCUAACAGAAAGAAACAAUGAUUUCAAUAGUGUGAAGGAAUGCAGUAUCUGGCAUGCUGUGACAUGAUAUAUCUUUAAACUAUUUGAGUUUACACCAAACUUGAACUACCAGAGAAAGGAGCGACCUUUCCAACUUAAACUGCUGAUCAUAAAAAGUUCUCCUUUUACUCAAGAGAAUGCUAUUGAAGUGCUGGCUGAGAUGCUGGGGAAAGCAGUUCCUGCCAUCUUCCUAAGCAAUAUUGGGCCAGGCCCUUAGCCUCUCUUGUCUCACUUUCCAGUCACAUUCUGUUGUCAUGUAUGACACAGAACGGCGUUGGAGAAACACCUCUUCUCUUCCUACAAAUGUUUGUUUGUGACAGUCUUUAACCAAAAGCAACAGCCUUUAUGAGAGUUCAGGAUACUGGAAAAAAUUAGAUCUCGAAGAACUGUUAUUGAUAGAUUUCUUCAAAGGAAGAGCAUAAUACUCCUUCUCCCUGAACAACAAAAAAUAUCUAAACACAGAGGCUCAACAGUCCCAGCUCUCAGCCUCUCCUCACAUGUCAGAUGCACUAGUCCCUUAAUCAUCUUCAUAGUCCUUGGUUGAACUCACUCCAAUAUGUUUAUGUCUUUGCUGUACUGGGAAAGCCAGAACAAAACCCAGCACUACAGGUACGUCCCACCAGCGUUGAGUAGAAAGGAAGGAUCAACUCCCUCGAACUUCUGGCCAUGCUCUUCCUAAUACAGCCCAGGAUGCUGUUUGGCCUUCUUUGCUGUACUUGCAUAUUGGUGG